UACGAAGGGUGCAAGCGUUACUCGGAAUUACUGGGCGUAAAGCGUGCGUAGGUGGUUUGUUAAGUCUGUUGUGAAAGCCCCGGGCUCAACCUGGGAAUGGCAAUGGAUACUGGCAAGCUAGAGUGCGGUAGAGGGUAGUGGAAUUCCCGGUGUAGCGGUGAAAUGCGUAGAGAUCGGGAGGAACACCAGUGGCGAAGGCGGCUACCUGGACCAGCACUAACACUGAGGCACGAAAGCGUGGGGAGCAAACAGG
rnacentral:rRNA from 1 species